rnacentral:rRNA from 1 species
UACGUAGGUGGCAAGCGUUGUCCGGAUUUAUUGGGUUUAAAGGGUGCGUAGGCGGUCUUCUAAGUCAGUUGUGAAAUACGGCAGCUUAACUGUCGAGGUGCAAUUGAUACUGGGAGACUUGAGUACUGAUGAGGUAGGCGGAAUGGACGGUGUAGCGGUGAAAUGCUUAGAUAUCGUCCAGAACACCGAUAGCGAAGGCAGCUUACUGGGCUGUAACUGACGCUGAGGCACGAAAGUGUGGGGAUCAAACAGG